AAACAGUGGAGACCAGCGACCACUUUAAAAGCGGGGUGACACUGAAAUGCCAUAACAGUAGGGGAAAU
rnacentral:ncRNA from 1 species